rnacentral:lncRNA from 1 species
AAACAGCUCAGAUAAUCCAACUUUGUUUUAUUGUGUGUAAAAUCAAGUGAAAUAGCAGUACAAAUAGGAGCAGUUUUUACAGUAACAAAAAUAACUUCAGCUUGAAAACCUUGAAAUUUACCACUGAAUUCUUAAGUUACAAAAUUCAAAAGCAGUAAUGGAGUAAUUUAAUAGAUAUAAAAAUGGUAGAUAGGUAUCUGCACGUGUGUACAGAAGUCUGAGAUCCAGUAAUAAAACAUACAUAUAUGGCACAGCAGUAAUGUACUGAAUAAGUUAGACUACCACCUCAAGUUCUAUUUACAAGCUUACCUGAAGAUUGCUUAAGGAGAGUACAGAUAAAUGAUUCAACUGAGGUGGAUUAAAAACUCCAGUUUGGGGAUAAUUGUAAGGCUAGCUAGCUAACGAACCACUAGUAUGCCAUGUAAUUAACUUAUUUGUGCAGAAAUUUAAAUUUGGUCAAGAGGCACUUGGACAAUUUACUGGCAUAUUCAUCUCUUCAGUCAAUAAAUCAGUCAUUUGAACAAUCUUCUAGAUAGAAGAACAGGCUAAAAUCCACCCUUCCCAUUUCAACUCCAGUAGAAGUGAAGAACUGAAGAAUGCGGAUACAAGCAGCUCUUUUGGUAAGUCUAGCAACAGCAUAUUCUUAAUUUGCUCAUCCUGGUUCAUAUUACUUUCACUUAAACUUGAUUCAUUUGUUACAAAUUACUUAGGAACAAGGAGAAUUAAGUUUUCUUCAAUACUGAAGUUGAACUGUAGUGUCUCAAAACUUUUAGUACCUGCUAAGCGUGCUAAAUCUAACAGGUAUUAAUAACAUACUCGGUUGUUUGGCUGAAAAGGCUGCUCUGUACAGCAAGUCUUUGCAGUAAGCCAUAAUGCCCCCAAACUUUCAGCAUACUGUCUAACCAGCACACAAUGUGAGAUGAGUACAGUGCUCCUUCCUACAGCAGCAUGCAACUCUUAGUCCAGGCAUUUUAAUUAGAGAACAUGGGAGGACAGGACAGCUCAAUUCUAAAAGCUUAAGUACAGCAAACCCUCUUAUCUUACUUGGCAGAAGCCAAAUUCCUCUUGAAUAGGAAACCUUUGUGCUACAGAAGAAUUCUGUCAGAACUGAAGCUUUUUUGUGUGCCUCCUUAGAUAGUUAGGGUUUGGCCUGUCUUCCUGGAAGCUAUGAUUAUAAUAAGGUCGUCUUCCCGUGUACCUGCAGGGAAAACUUUAUAGAAGCACUCUGGGGGCCUAAAAUUUAACUACUGUUAAUUUCACCAGAGAAAGUAAAAAUAGUGUUUACCACAGUUUGGAACAUGUACUUUUUCCAGACAAUCCUUCCUCACUUGAUAUCCAGUCUACGCAUCUCCCUCCCUAACCCUUCCCCAGUUUGAUCACCGAUUAGGACAUCAUGGAUUGCUGCACAGCCUUCUGCAGAGAUUGCCUGGUCACCAGCAGCCGUACCACUUCUUCAUUUCUUUUUGUCAGCCUCUUCCUAGCUUGGUCAUGGGUCACCAUUGUCAUAUCCCAGCCAUUCACCUGCAUGAUCUUGUCCCCAAUCUGUAGUCCUGCAAUUUCUGCUGGGCCUCCUUCUGUCACCCUUGUUACAUAAAUACCCUUGUCAGUCUUAUCUUCAGAGAAAGGAUUUUGAGUAGGGUCCUGAUCAAUGCCACCUCCAAUGCUGAAUCCCAGAAUCAAGUUGUCACCUUGGCGAAGCUUAUGUAUUUCAAUUCUUUGCACCACGGCGGUGACGGGCUGUCCCGGCACGUACGACAUGGCCCCACACAGCCGCCCGUCGCGGCCGCCGCCCGAACAAAAGCGCUUCAGCCGGCCC